GAAAGAAACCAUAUUUUGUUGGAGAAAAUUUAAUCUUUUAAUAUUAGGUAAAUCAUAACGUUAAUUGUAUAUAUUUUACAGUAAUAAAGUUCAGAUUUGUUUAAAUUAUCGAUAAAUAAUAUAAGUUUCGUGGCAGGCAAAAAGAAAAUAAAUAUAUUUCGAUAUAAAAACCUAACCUAAAAAUUUUAGCAUUGAAAUGUUAAACAAAAAAAAAUAGUGCUAAAAGAUGAUUGUCUCAGGAAAAAAGGCCUAAAAAUUCUAAUUCUUUCGGCGUCUAUUCUUCUCAACUCAGAAUUCAGACUUCGAGAAGAAUUGUAUGAAAUUCUUAUAUCCAUAGAUGAGAUGACAAAUGAUAACUUCUACUGAAUCUUCGAAUAAGUGUCCAAUCAUGAAGGAUGGGUGUUUGUUGCGGAGCUGCUCCUGGAGGAGAUCUUGCAUUGCUGAGUCGCAGUUCAAUGCAGUUGGUCCAGUAGCGGAAAGAUUUGUCCAUUGAAAGAGAGGAUAUGCUGACAUCGUAUUUUUUACACAACGCAGAAAUUUUCCCUUAUAGGUCCAUAAGAAGGAAAUCAUUUUAUAAAAAAGAUAUGCUGUCAUCGUUUCUCUAACACUACGCAGAAAUCCCCUCAUAUAGCUCCAUUCCAAAUUUCCAAAUAUCUGAAGAGACUGGGAAGGAUGUGGAAGAAGAAAAGUGGCCCCUGCAACAUAUUUUUUUUAUAAAAUAUUUUUUUCUUUUUUUUCAUAUUUUUUUAUAAUAUUUUUUUUUGAGCUCCCGGCCUCACGCAGAAGUGCGAGCAAGAAAGAGGGAUCCUCGGGAGCUGGCCCUGAAGCGCUCGAGAGUGGCAAUGACGUUAUUGUCCCGACGAGGGAUGUUUCGCCGAUCGGUGAGUCAUUUUUUAUUUAAAUUUUUUCCCUGUUUUUUGAGACGCGCAAUUUCUUGAAUAAAUUUUCUUAAUAUAUAUGUAAAUUAAAUUACAACAAAAUUAAUUUAUAAUUUAUAAAUCAUUAUAAAUUGAAAAUUAAUUUUUUUGGAUAUCAUUUUAAAUUUAUGAAUUUUUGCAAUAUUUUCGCAAUUUUUUUCCUUUAAUAAAUUAUAAUAUAGAUCCAGCCGAAAAAUAUUGAAAGAUUUUUUAUAAACAGGGAAGAAAUUCUGGCAACAUAGUGACGCCAUUGACAAAAUAUAUUAUUUUUGAAGUUUUAGCGAUCAUCCGUAAAGCAUUUGAUAGACUUUUAAAAAUUUACCCUCCUCCCAAUUUUGAACACUUUACACCCUAAAAUAUCAUAUGUUUCAUGGAUGACUCGUUAUUACUACGUAAAUUAAUAUUAUUGUCAAUGUUUAUUUCAAUUAUUUAUAUACAUAUGUAUGUCAUUUAUAUUGUGCACUUUGUUUAAUAUUUAUUUUUGUUUAAUUUAUCUGAUUAAAGUUAUUUUCUUUUUCUUUUAAAAAUAAAUAAUUGGAAUUAAAUUUGUAACAUUUUAUUAAUUUCAAAAUUGACAAGUUAAUGCAUGUGGUAUUUAAAAGUAAAAAGUUUUUGAUAAUUUGUUCAAGUUAAAAGUUAAUGCAUGUAAAAUUUAAAAGUAAAUUUUUUUUGAUAAUUGUAAUGAAACGACUAAUUAAAAGUUUUCAUUUCAGAAAAUACCGCUCAGGUGACGGUUGCGUCCCGGGACGUUAACCCUAGUGUAGGUCAUUUUGCACCGGGGCGGUAAAUUAUUUUCGUUUUAGAUAAAAAAAAACGGGAUAGGUAAAUAGAAAUUUUUUCGUUUUAAAUACAGCUGUAGGUAGGGAAAUCGGAAAAAGAAAAUUUUUUUUCGUUUUAAAUAUAGCUAUAGGUAGGAAAAUCAGGAAUAGGAAAAAUAAUAAUUUUUUUUUUCGAUUUAAAUAUAGCUAUAGGUAGGGAAGAAGAAAAAAACAAGUAACUGGAAAACCAGUGAAAAUAUAAUUUGUUUAAAUUUUUUCUCUUUUUUUGUCACUAUGUUGUUUUAAAUUUUUUUAAUUUUGUGAAUUAUAUAUGUAUAUGUAUAAUGAGUAUAUAUAUAUGCAUAU